rnacentral:rRNA from 1 species
GCGUGUAUGAAGAAGGCCUUCGGGUUGUAAAGUACUUUCAGUUGGAGGAAGGGUGUGUAGUUAUAGCUGCGCAUCUUGACGGUUAGCAACAGAAGAAGCACCGGCUAACUCCGUGCCAGCAGCCGCGGUAAUACGGAGGGUGCGAACGUUAAUCGGAAUUACUGGGCGUAAAGCGCAUGCAGGUGGUUCAUUAAGUCAGAUGUGAAAGCCCGGGGCUACCUCGGAACUGCAUUUGAACUGGUGAACUAGAGUGCUGUAGAGGGGGGUAGAAUUUCAGGUGUAGCGGUGAAAUGCCUAGAGAUCUGAAGGAAUACCAGUGGCGAAGGCGGCCCCCUGGACAGACACGACACUCAGAUGCGAAAGCGUGGGGAGCAAACAGGAUUAGAUACCCUGGUAGUCCACCCGUAACGAUGUCUACUUGGAGGUUGUGGCCUUGAGCCGUGGCUUUCGGAGCUAACGCGUUAACGUAGACCGCCUGGGG